UGUUAGAUGCAGUGCGCUGUGUGACUUCUCAGUUCAGUGUCAGUUCAGUGUAUUGAGUGGUGUGGUCUGAAUUCUGCACUCUGAAUGUUGUCCCAGUGGCUGAUUUAUAUCAAUGUCGGAUUUACCUACCAGCACCCUUGGUGCUGUUGUCCCCGUUUGAAAAUCUGCAGAAAAAAAGAAGCCACUUCAAUCAGUUAUUGAAGGCUUCGUAGUCCAAAACUUAACUAUCUGAGCUCAGUCUCCGCUGCCUGACAAACCAACCUAUUUGCGAUCUGACUGCCUUGGUACUUUUUGGGAUGUUACAAGUUACCAGUCUAGACAUGAUAUAAUGAGGGCGCUGAUUAGCUCUGUGGUAAUAGACAACCUGAUAUUUAGUGCCAUGGUACUGUGUCAGUAGCCACUUUGUUAUUUUAUACAUUUCUUAAGCAUAUACUACUGUACUUUGACCUUCUUGUGUGUCUCUCUGCACAGUUCAGAGGAACAGAAUAGGAUGGGAACAGAGGAAACAGUUCAUUUUAGGAUAAACAGGAGGAGGAGUCAAAUAUAGCACCAAUGGUAUGAUGGCUGUGCCUUGUCAACUGUGAACUCUGCAUUAUAGGGCUCUUCAGUCAUUUUAUCCUGGCCCAUGCACUCAAUAAUAGUGCUGUUGUAAUAUCCAAAGUUGAUCUUUUUUUUUUCUUUUUUUUUUUUUUUUUUUAUUCAUUAUAGAUGGUGUCCCCAAUAUUUCUCACAGUAAACUCCCUCCUAGAUGCAUUAACUGACAAAUAUAUAUUUAACAGUUUGUGAAGGUGUGAUUCUAACUUGCCUCCUUCUCUUUGGUUUUACUGGUAUUCUAAAGGUUUGGACUGGGCUCUUUGUCUCCCCAUUUCGGAGCUGGAUUAGGAUUAGGCAUCAGGAUGGAUACAUGGAGCAGGAGCACAGGAUCAUUUUUCCCGGGAGAGGAUCCCGAGCCCUGUCCGCAUAUCCCCACAAACUGGAAACAAUAUACAAAAUAUCCUCAAUCAAUUGGCUUCACUUUUUUUCUUUUUUUUUUAAUAUUCCAAAAUAAUUUUUGUCAUAUUUUGCAUAGGACCCAGAGACAAUUACAGAUGUUGUGCUGGUGAUUUUAUUAUUUUACAGAGUUUUUUUUUUUUUUUUUUACUUAAAAAAAAAGAAGAGCAAAAUCUUGGAUCAAAACCAGGAGGAGGGCUGGGAGGUGCAGGAUGGAUCCUCACGCGUAAGGAGAGUGGUAAAUAGGGGGAACCUUUAAUAGUGGAGGAGGGAGGGGAAGAGGGAGGACCGGAAGGCAACAAGGGAAUGUGACUUCAGUUUGGUUUGUAUGUUUUUCUUAGGUCAGUCUCUUGCUGAAGAAAAUGAGUUCUAAAAUUCUCCAGUAUAUUACAGCUUUAUUCUUUUAAAUAAACAUUUCUAAUAAAAAUGUCUGUAAAAUCAUAUCAGUUGUUGUGCUUUUUUUCCCCAGGGUCUUUAGUUGAAAAGGGAUGGACCCCCCAAAAUCCUAAAUAUUACUACACUUAUCUGCUACUUUUUACUAAUGCUUUACUACAAGAAAAGUAUUAUACUUUGUUUUACUCUACAGUUUUUCAUCCUUUUCCUGUUCUGUGUUGGUUUUGAAUAUAUGUGAUAAAAUGAACCAAUUGGAAAAAAAAAUUCUCCACUUUAAGUAAAACCCUCUUGGAUUAACUGGAAAAUGCAUUAUUGUAGUUGAACUACCCAAUAGUUAUUGAAAUGAGCUCAAACUUAACCAUCUGCAGAACUUAAACAUGUCAAUGCAGCAGUAAUAUGGGACCAAAAACAAUGACAAGGGACAGUUCACAACUGAUUACUCUUCAAGCAUUUAACCCAAGUACAUUUUGUUAUUUAGAACAUUUAGCUGUGGGGGUGUAUUGGUACUUGGGCCUUACCUGGACACUUUUCCACUGAGAGAAGCGGAAAGGUAAACAAAUUGCAGCCUAGGGUUUGAAGUCGCAACUGUAGCUUUGACGUGUCCAUGACGUCAUGACGUUUAUGGCGGGGCUGUCUGUGAUUGGCGGAAACUUCCUCCACUGGGUUAACGGGCGAAUGUGCUGAUAGAUUUGUCUAUGCGAACGCACCCUUUACUAAGUAUCUGUUAAAUUAGUUUUGCUUGAAGAAUAACUAACAUAUUUGUAUUGCUGGAAGUCGAACUGUCGCUUGUCUGUCUUUAAAACGUUCGUCAGCCAUAAGGUAGCAUCGUUUUGUUUGGUACUAGCUAGCUGUCACCUUUGUUUUUCCGCUAGCGUUAACAUGUCUGGUGGAGGUGUCAUUCGAGGACCAGCUGGGAGUAACGACUGUCGGAUAUACGUGGGGAAUCUCCCUCCUGACAUCCGCACGAAAGACGUCGAGGACGUGUUCUAUAAAUACGGGAUCAUUCGGGACAUUGAUCUGAAAAACAGAAGAGGAGGUCCACCAUUUGCCUUCGUUGAAUUUGAGGACCCCAGGUUCAUCUGCAGGGAUGCAGAAGAUGCUGUUUACGGGCGUGAUGGUUACGACUAUGAUGGCUACCGUCUGCGUGUUGAGUUUCCUCGAAGUGGACGAGGAGGUGGAAGGGGAGGUGGUGGUGGUGGUGGAGCUUUGGGGGCUCAAAGAGGAAGGUAUGGCCCCCCUUCACGACGCUCUGAGUACAGGGUCAUUGUUUCAGGUCUUCCCCCCAGUGGAAGCUGGCAGGACCUGAAGGAUCACAUGCGAGAGGCAGGUGAUGUAUGUUAUGCAGAUGUGUACCGUGAUGGCACUGGAGUGGUGGAGUUUGUGCGCAAAGAAGACAUGACCUAUGCUGUCCGCAAGCUGGAUAACACUAAGUUUCGCUCUCAUGAGGGAGAAACAGCCUAUAUUCGGGUGAAAAUGGAUGGUCCUCGUAGUCCCAGCUACGGGCGUUCUCGCUCCCGUAGCCACAGUCGAAGCCGGAGCAAGAGUGGUUCACGCAGCUAUUCCCCACGUCGCAACAGAGGAUCUCCACGUUACUCUCCACGGCGUUCCCACUCCAGAUCACGCACUUAAAUACACCUGACCUUAACUGAACCACCAACCAGCUCAGCCCAGCAGCACAUCUCAGAAUGGCGAAGAAAAGCAUCAUGGAACUUACCCUGUACAGUUUCCAUGGACCAUUUGCCAUGUUAAUUGUUUGCUGUUUCUCUUGUUGUUGUCCUUGUUUCACCAGUUUGUUGUUGUGAUUUUAUUUUUCUGCAUUUUGGCUUAUUUAACAAGAUAACAUCUGUUAAAAUUCUUUGGUCUUUGUAUGUUACCCCAAUCCCCUUCUUUACCCCUUCCCUUUGUUUUCUUCCCUCUUGAAAUUACCAAGAUCCCUUGUCUACUAUCCUAAUUUUUCUAUUUUUCUGCACUUUUGCUUGAUUUCAGGUUGUGUGUAUGAAAUGCAACAGUACUUUUGGGGGGAAAUUUGUUGUUUUUGGAGUGUUAAGGUUUUUUCUUUCUUGUCAGCCUUGCAUUUACUAUUGUACUUUGACCUUCUCGUGUGUCUCUCUGUAGAGUUCAAAGGAGCAGGAUAGGAUGGAAACAGAGGAAAAGGAAACACAUUUCAUAUUAGGAUAAACAGGAGGAGGAGGAGUCAAAUAUGGCAACAAUGGUUUGGACUGGGCUCUUUGUCUCCCCAUACCGGAGCCGGAUCAGGAUUCAGGAUCAGAUCAGGAUUAGGAUUAGGCUUCAGGAUGGAUGGAGCAGGAGCAUGGGAGCAUUUUACCGGGAGAGGAUCCAAAUCCCCAGCCCCGGAAAUAUUGUAGUAAAAUACUCUCAAUUAAUUGGCUUGCAAACUGUCAAAACAUAUUUCUUGUGGUACCUCAGGGAUGCAAUCACUGAUGGCAGCCUGAUGAGUGAUUGUCUUUCAGAUUUCAGAUAAUUUUUUUUUAAUUAAGAAGAGCACAGAUUGGAUCAAACCAGGAGGAGGGCAGGAUGGAUCCACGCACGUAAGGAGAGUGGUAAAUAGUGGGAAACCAUUAACAAGGAAGAGGGGGGGACUGGGAGGCAAAUGGGAAACUUUAAUGUGGUAAAUGUUCCUGAGGAUCCGACUUGUGCCUAGAAAGCUGAAGAUGGGUUUUGACUUUAUUAGUUAUUAUUAUUUAUAAUCCCCUAUUAUCAACAACUUGCUUUGUUUUGAAUAAAAGUUCAAUUUACAGUUAACUAUUACUGUGUAGUUCUUUUUAAACAGCA